GGGAUUUGUUAGAACACAUCCACUACUUUUUUUUUUUGUGGGAGUGUUCUAGCAAGCUACACCUUAAGGUGUUUUUAACUACUUUUUAGUUAUAGCUUGCUAAAACAUACCUUCUGAAAAAUAAGUGGGUGUAUCCUAGAAAAUGCCUAUAGGAGUUGCUAACAUACACCCACUUAUAUUUUAGAAUGUGUGUUUUAGAAGCAUUCAUCUUAAGGUGUAAUUAACAACUUUUUAGUUAUAUCUUUGCUAAAACACACCUUAAUAAAAACUAGUGGGUGUAUUCUAGCAAACCCCAUAUAUAUUUAUAUAUAUAUAAAACUUUACGGUGCGUAUAAGUGAGGUGUUUGGGGUUUGAACUCCGGCCUCUGCAUAUAACAAUGUAUGUCCCUGACAACUGAGUUAUGCUCACGGGGACGAGUGGUAACUAAAUUUAAUAGCUAAUUUAUUUAUUUUCUAAUGAUCAACAUAUAACAAUAUUAAACUUCCUUUCUUUCUUCUUCAAAUCUUCUCACAUCCUUUUACAGUAUUAAACUUUUUGUUCUGCCAAAAUAACAAUAUAAUGCAUGCUUAAGUAGUGGUCACAUAUAAACUAUAACAUAAUCACAUGUAGCAGCAUAGAAAAACUUGCAAUGAUAUCAACAAUCAUAGAGCAACAUAAAAUAGCAAAACCAAAUAUUGUUGAACCAAAAGAUAAAAAAUAUGCUCAGAAAUGAGCAACAAACCAGAACAAUCCAACAAGUUCUUUUUAAUUCCUUAUGUAUAUGUUAUUUCUAUAGCUAAUUGCCCAAUUCUUGAGUCUCCUUCCUACAAGAAGCAUACCUU
rnacentral:lncRNA from 1 species